AAAUCAUCAUUUAGGUUGAGAUCAAGCUAGUGUCUAUUUUAUUGUUUUAAUAGCUGGUAUAUCCUCUGUCUGGUGACAAUAUAUUGAGUAAAAUUUUCAAGCCAGGAGAUGAAAUAAGAACUUGUUCCUUCCACUCCACACAUGAGCUGGAAUUACAGUACCAGGAACCGUGUACUCCUC
rnacentral:snRNA from 1 species